AUGAAUCCCAGUGGCUCUCUACGGAGACGUUUGUCCUCCCUUCGCGAUGCUUGGAGGUGGAGUACGGGUUACCUGUUCAAGGGCUCAACCAAAUCCUCCAAGAGCAUGGAGUCUCGACACAGACCAUCUAGGAGCUUGAGUUUGAUCCAGGCCGUGGAGGAAAACUAUGAGGUGGACCUGGUCUACAUCACAGAGCGCAUCAUUUCUGUGAGCUUCCCCAGUAAUGUAGAAGAGCCGAGCUACAGCGAUAACAUAAAGGAGGUCGCCACCAUGCUACGCUCCAAACAUGGUGACAACUACUUGCUCUUCAACCUCAGUGAAAAGCGCUGUGAUAUCUCCAAGCUGAAUCCCAAAGUGCUGGAUUUUGGCUGGCCGGACCAUCAUGCUCCAGCCCUGGACAAGAUCUGCAGCAUCUGCAAAGCCAUGGACACUUGGAUGAGCGCUGACAGUCACAAUGUGGUGGUCUUACACAAUAAGGGAAACCGAGGUCGAACGGGGGUAGUUGUGGCUGCGUACAUGCAUUACAGCAACAUAUCAGCGAGUGCAGACCAGGCUCUGGACAGGUUCGCCAUGAAGCGCUUUUAUGAAGAUAAAGUGCUUCCUGUGGGUCAACCCUCCCAGAGAAGGUAUGUGCAGUAUUUCAGCGGUCUGCUCUCCGGCCGCAUCAAGAUCAACAACAAGCCCCUGUUUCUGCACCACGUCAUCAUGCACGGGAUCCCAAACUUCGAGUCCAAAGGAGGUUGCCGCCCUUUCCUCAAGAUCUACCAGGCUAUGCAACUGAUAUUUGAUCAUGGGAGAGAAAACCCUGGAAAACUGAGAGACGCAGAGAGAGAGAAUGGUCUCAAGUGUUACCACAAGCGCUUCCGCAGCCCGUCCCGUGAUGUCAUCUUCAGAGUGCAGUUUCACACCUGUGCUGUCCAUGAUCUGGGCAUCGUCUUCGGCAAAGAUGAGCUUGAUGAAACAUUUAAAGAUGACAGAUUUCCUGAAUAUGGAAAAGUGGAAUUUGUCUUUUCUUUCGGCCCAGAAAAAAUCCAAGGAAUGGACCACCUUGAGAACGGGCCCAGUGUUUCUGUGGACUACAACACCCAGGAUCCUCUGAUUCGCUGGGAUUCUUACGAGAACUUCAACCAGCGCUGCGAAGAUUCAGUGGAGGGUGAGUGAAGCUGUAGCCUCAUUAUCAACAAAUGACUGAAAAUGAUUAGACUUUGUCGAAAGUAGAGCCAGAAUGGUAGUAAAACAGUUCUAUUUCCACUUCAGACAACUUUAAAAAUACUACUUUUACCAUUCUGCUUGUAAAUCCUCCAAAUUUGUACUUUUUCCAUUGUAAGUUACUCUAAACUCUUACUCUAAAGUUCUAUAUUUUAUUUAUUAAUUUAUUUGCGAGUCAACAUUUUUAGUUUUAUUCAGCAUUAUCUGGAUGCUUCCCUAAUAAACAUCUGCCUAGUCUUUAGACA
rnacentral:lncRNA from 1 species